rnacentral:rRNA from 1 species
UCGGGAAUUUUGGGCAAUGGGCGAAAGCCUGACCCAGCAACGCCGCGUGAAGGAUGAAGUAUUUCGGUAUGUAAACUUCGAAAGAAUGGGAAGAAUCAAUGACGGUACCAUUUAUAAGGUCCGGCUAACUACGUGCCAGCAGCCGCGGUAAUACGUAGGGACCAAGCGUUGUUCGGAUUUACUGGGCGUAAAGGGCGCGUAGGCGGCUUUGUAAGUCACUUGUGAAAUCUCCGGGCUUAACUCGGAACGGCCAAGUGAUACUGCAAAGCUAGAGUGCAGAAGGGGCAAUCGGAAUUCUUGGUGUAGCGGUGAAAUGCGUAGAUAUCAAGAGGAACACCUGAGGUGAAGACGGGUUGCUGGGCUGACACUGACGCUGAGGCGCGAAAGCCAGGGGAGCAAACGGGAUUAGAUACCCCUGUAGUCCCUGAGCGGGCUGGCAAGGCGCAU